UGAAACUAUUUGCACAUCCCUUUUAUUGCUAGAAUAUUUUAUUCACAUUGGCACUGAUAAUUCAUGCAAGAUAUGUUCACUCACACCUUAUAAACCAUACUACAUUCUGUUUCUGAAAUAACAACUAGAAACUUAAAAAAAAUCUAAAAGCAAGGGCACUUGUAGUAUUAUGGCAAUAUUUCAAUACAUUAUAAAAGGUAGACUUCCAGGAUGAUCACUGCAUGCAAUAAAUCAAUCAGUUGCAAAUUUUAUCUUUUAUAAAUACUAAACAAAUUAAUGCCUACUACCAGGAGACAAGUACUGCAGCUAAACAUACUGCUCAGUAUUAGACACUAAUAAAUGUUUUUAGUGCUGUGGAUAUUCACAUUCUUAAACAUAAAUAAAAAUAAUCUUAAAUAAAAUAUUUCAUUCAAUUUCCCGACCACUGAAGGACCAGAGUCAAACAAUUUGGUAAUUAGGUUUUUGUGUGUGUGUGAAUCUAGUAUGCCAAACUAAAAUAUUUUUUAAGUUAGAAGAUGAAAUGUUUCAAAAGACCUCAACAAAUGGUGACCCAUUUGAUUUAUUUUUUUGUGUUGCAAAUAAAUAAAAAAGAAAAAGAGAAAAAAAUUCUAGAGUCUCAUGCUGAUUUUGAAUCUUCAACUACAUAGAGAGUUCACUGUAUUUUUAACUGCAAACAAGAUGGGUUUUGAUCCUUUAUAUCUUUAUCCAUUGGUCAUUCAGUGGUACAGUAUUUUUUUGUCUUCUAGAAAGAAAUCCUCUGGGAAUUAGAAUAAAAAGAUUACUUUCAAGAUUUGAAAGUAAUGACUUACACCCAGGUAAUUAUUAAAACAAAUGGAACAUAAUACACUUUAUUCACCCUACAAAAUAUAUUUUGCUACAGCAGUUGUGGUAGUGACAGACUAAGGAAGGGCCCCAUUCUGAGUUUGACAUGUAUAUCUUAUUUUUUCUUAUGAAUUUGUUCUACAUGGUACAACAAUAAUGGUGAUUUCAUGGUAUUCUACCGAAAUAAGAUUCAAAAUAGUACCCAUUUUUGUCUGAGGUUUGUGCAAAAAUGGUAUUUGACCUCAAGUGUGGGUAACUAUUCCCUAUUUUUAGGCUACUAGGAAGCAACGCAAGUCAAAAUUGGAAAUGAAUUGUAUGCUACUAAUAUGGAGAUGCCUACAAUGUAGCCAGAGGCAACUAUAGCACAUGUGGGCCAACGCAAACGGGCUUUAAUCUCAGUAGCUCAUGUAACAAACUGAAGUGAAGGAACAGCAGCAUGAAUUUAAGCUCGGCAAGCUGGUCAAGGAAACUAUAGUACUCUAAUCAACUGCACACUGCUACACUUGUUUGUGCCAUGCUUUUUCUUCUUUUUUCUUUUUUUCAUCCUUUUUAAAGGUCUAUAAAGAGUUUUUUCUCCUUUUUUCUUAGGAAAUUUCUUGCUAUACUUCAGAGCAAGAGAAAAAACUUAAAAAUAUCAUUCUAAAUUUCCUUACAAUAUCUUAACAUACAAUCUCAUUUCAGUUACGUUCUGGGAUCUUACGAAUCAAUUGUUUAUUUUCAUAAUGGUACCGGACUCUAGUCUGGCGUGGCUGUUUAGUGUCCCACUGCACCCAGGAUUUCUGGCAGGCUUGUACAGCCCCUGCUGAAGCCCAUGACACUGCCUUUUUCACUGCUGUAGCCAGAUCUGCAUUGCUAGCCAGAUUGAAGCUAGCUCCGCAAUGGCUAAAUGGGCUGCAAUCCACUACAUCUAAAUGGCUACUUGAAGUAGAGAAAUACCGAUACAGAAUAGCUUCUAUCUGUGGAUUGUGUACACAAACUGCUUGGCAGAGCUGCUUCAGUGCAGUUUGUUUAUGGUGUAACAUAUAUAUUAAUACUGAUUCUGUUUCUAAGUAACAGAGAAUGAUACACUCUAUUGUCUGUUGAACAGCACUAGAAUUGUCCUCUGAAAGAAAUACAAGUAUAUAAAAAAAUGACUAUUUUGGUAUCUAGAGAAAGUAGUAAUAGGAACUGAAUGUGAAUGGAAAUGAAUUUUAACUUGCAUUGCUUAUAACUCACUGGAGAAUACAAUGACCUAGAUCCUUAGCUAAUGUAAUUGAUGGAGCCAUAUCAGGCUGAGGAUUUGACUCUUUAUUUGGAAGCAGAAAACUUUCUUUUCUAUAGAAAAAGAGAAAGUACCUAAUAUGUUCAAGAAAUUGUUUUAAGAUGAAUUCAUCCAUAUAAAAAAAAUCUAACCUUUGUAACACUGCUAAGAUGUAUGAGAACUAGGAUACUCUAAUAUAUAAGUGCAGGCUACUCAAGUCAAAGACGCAAGUGGACAUAUUUAGACUGUCAGUUUUUCAAAAUCUAAGUGUGGAUUUAGCAAGUAAAGUAGAGCCAAAAGUUCCUUUUACUCUCACCCAUUUCCCUUUGGAUGUGCCCUCUACCUUAUAAAAUAAGAUAGCAAAUAUCCUAAAAUGGGCAUUAAAAAUAGGAGGGAAAAUGUAAAGGCAUCACUAAGCAAUCCACUUCUAUAUUCAGAUUAUGCAAAAAUCCAAGAUGCAUGGGGGUCAGAGUAGAAGGGAGAGUAGGCCCAUACACUUUAUCCUCAGGUAGCUGGAACCUCAUAAACAUUAACUUAAAACUACGAGUCACAAUACAAUCAUAUUUUUCACUCAAAAUAAACAAGUAAAACUUGAAGAGUAAUGGAACAUUCUAUAGUUAAAGUCAGAAUAUUUUUCUUUGCUGAGUAUCGAUAUACUACUCUCAUACAAUUGCAGAUACUUAAAUUUAAGAAUCCAAAGCUAUCAUCAAUACCAUAAAUAUUAGCUGCUUUUCACAACAAUACAUAAGCUUUUAAAAAUCAUUACUAGAAUAAUGUGGAAGAUGUAUUAUAAAGUGUUAGAAAAGGUGAAAUGUUAAUACUAUUCUAAAUGUCAGAUUCCAUCUUCUCACAGCAGCAAACACAACCACACUUGGGAUGUUCUGCAUUAAAGAAACUAAUCACAGUAGUAAGAGCAUGUGCCUGUGAUGUGGUGCUGCUUUAAGAUUUUUUAAGAAAUAGGUAUUCAUUGACUUCCUCGGAGGAAAAAAAUAGGUGUGUUUUUUUUUUACAUUUGGGAUUGACCAGGGAACACUAGGGAACAGGCUGUCCUACUCCUAUCCUCCUCGCCAUGCUAAAUGGAAGCCGUAACUAGUAACUAGCACCCAGUUAUUUGAAAUCGGGGGAAAUAAGCAUCAAAAUAACUUUAACAGUAUGAUGUAUUUUCAGGACAGGUAGAGGAAAAGUGAAUCUACUUUGAACAGAAACACAACAUUAAUCCUUUCUAAACUCCCCCAAUUCCUUACUCCCAUAUAAAAACGAAAUGGAGAAAGUAUUCCAGGUGCUUUUUAA